rnacentral:rRNA from 1 species
CUCCGGCCCGCAUUGUAAUUUGCAGAGGAUGCUUCUGGUGAGGUGCCUUCCGAGUUCCCUGGAACGGGACGCCAUAGAGGGUGAGAGCCCCGUAUGGAUGGACACCAAACCUGUGUGAAGCUCCUUCAACGAGUCGAGUAGUUUGGGAAUGCUGCUCAAAAUGGGAGGUAAAUCUCUUCUAAAGCUAAAUACCGGCCAGAGACCGAUAGCGCACAAGUAGAGUGAUCGAAAGAUGAAAAGCACCUUGAAAAGGGGGUUAAACAGUACGUGAAAUUGUUGAAAGGGAAGCACUUGUGACCAGACUUGCGCCGGGCAGCUCAUCAGGGGUUCUCCCCUGUGCACUCUGCCCGGCUCAGGCCAGCAUCGGUUCUCGUGGGAGGAUAAGAACGAUGGGAACGUGGCCCCCCUCCGGGGGGGUGUUAUAGCCCAACGUACGAUACUCUCGUGGGGACCGAGGUUCGCGCUCCGCAAGGAUGCUGGC